GGGUCAGUAGGUUGGUCGUGCCACCGGUACGUACUGGUCUCACUGAUUCCUCCUUCCUGAAGAACCGUAAUGCCAUUAAUUUGGUGUUGCGGGGAAACAGGACUGUUACUUUGAAAAAAUUAGAGUGUUUAAAGCAAGCUAACGCUUGAAUACAUUAGCCUGGAAUAAUGAAAUAGGACGAUCGAUCCUAUUUUGUUGGUUUCUAGGAUUGACGUA
rnacentral:rRNA from 1 species